CCAGCCUUGGGCACUGAAGAAAGAGGCGGGAUGAGAACCGUGCACUUGUUCUACUGGGCGGGCAUCUAGACACUGCCUUCUACACGUUAAGUGGACGAUGAAGAGCUGUUGAAUAAAUAUGUGAACAGAGGAGAAAGAUGCUGCUUGCAUGGUGCUUACAGAAAGAGAGGCCCUGCGGAUCAUGUCAGAACUUUUAACAUGAGAAAGAGAAAACAAUCCUUUCUGAAUACGGACACUGAAGGGAUGUUCUCUGUGCUGAGUGUUUGAAGUGUUUGUCAACUUCAUAGCUAAAGGGAGGGGUCUUCAUUC